rnacentral:rRNA from 1 species
GAAACCGGGCGACCUACCCAUGAGCAGGAUGAAGCGAAAGUAAAAUUUCGUGGAGGUCCGAACCCACGAGCGUUGAAAAGCUCGGGGAUGACUUGUGGGUAGCGGUGAAAUUCCAAUCGAGCCCGGAGAUAGCUGGUUCUCCCCGAAAUAGCUUUAGGGCUAGCCUCAAGGUGAGAGAUACGGAGGUAGAGCACUGAAUGUCCUAGGGGGUAUUGCACCUACCGAAGACUAUCAAACUCCGAAUGCCGUCAUCUUAUACUUGGGAGUCAGACUGUGGGUGAUAAGAUUCAUAGUCGAAAGGGCAACAGCCCAGAUCGUCAGCUAAGGUCCCUAAAUGUAAGUUAAGUGGUAAAGGAUGUGGGAUUGCACAGACAACCAGGAUGUUGGCUUAGAAGCAGCCACUCAUUCAAAGAGUGCGUAAUAGCUCACUGGUCGAGUGAUCCUGCGCCGAAGAUUUCCGGGGCUAAAACUUACUACCGAAGCUACGGCAUCAGUAAUGAUGGGUAGGGGAGCUUCCCAUACGGGUUGAAGCAUGACCGUAAGGACAUGUGGACAGUAUGGGAGUGAGAAUGUUGGCAUGAGUAGCGAGAUGUGGGUGAGAAUCCCACAGGCCGUAAACCCAAGGUUUCCAGGGGAAGGUUCGUCCGCCCUGGGUUAGUCGGGACCUAAGCUGAGGCCGAAAGGCGUAGGUGAUGGACAACAGGUUGAUAUUCCUGUACUACCGAUAACCGUUUGAGAGAAGGGAUGACACAGUAGGAUAAGCUAAGCACACUGUUGGUUAUGUGUGCCCAAGCAUUGAGGCAGUCAAAGUAGGCAAAUCCGCUUUGAUAAUGCUGGGAUGUGAUGGGGAGCGAAAUUUAGUAGCGAAGUAGCUGAUUUCACACUGUCAAGAAAAGUCUCUAUCGAGGUUAAAGGUACCCGUACCGCAAACCGACACAGGUGGGUGAGGAGAGUAUCCUAAGGCCAGCGAGAGAACUGUUGUUAAGGAACUCGGCAAAAUGACCCCGUAACUUAGGGAUAAGGGGUGCCACCAUCAGGUGGCCGCAGAGAAUAGGCCCAAGCGACUGUUUACCAAAAACAUAGGUUUCUGCUAAGUCGCAAGACGAUGUAUAGGAGCUGACGCCUGCCCGGUGCUGGAA